AUACGUAGGGGGCGAGCGUUGUCCGGAAUGAUUGGGCGUAAAGGGCGCGUAGGCGGCGCGGUAAGUCUGGAGUGAAAGUCCUGCUUUCAAGGUGGGAAUUGCUUUGGAUACUGCCGCGCUUGAGUGCAGGAGAGGUUAUCGGAAUUCCCGGCGUAGCGGUGAAAUGCGUAGAGAUCGGGAGGAACACCAGUGGCGAAGGCGGGUAACUGGACUGCAACUGACGCUGAGGCGCGAAAGUGUGGGGAGCAAACAGGAUUAGAUACCCUGGUAGUCCACACUGUAAACGAUGAAUGCUAGGUGUAAGAGGUAUCGACCCCUUUUGUGCCGGAGUCAACACAAUAAGCAUUCCGCCUGGGGAGUACGGCCGCAAGGUUGAAACUCAAAGGAAUUGACGGGG
rnacentral:rRNA from 1 species